GAGCUCGGUUAGAACAGUCGUCGUCGGUCCGUUGGUUACCCGGGUGUGAAGUGUUGUGAGUGAAUCAACUUUGCCCUCUUGGAUAUCUUGAACUUCAGGUACAACCACGUGACUUGGAGUACAUACAGUGACGUCACCAGCAAAGAGCAGAAGUGGACCCAGUAGAUGGCUACAAAGACCGUGUGUUGUGUGAUGGAGGCCCAGACGCCAUGGUUCCUAGGGCGGUGGUCAUGAGGGAGACGGGAGCACCCCCUCCCCCACCUGUCAAGAACACCACCUCCCUCCUGUCACUGCUACACAACUGUUCUAGUCACCAACACUACCCUCAGGUAAG